AAAGCAAAAGUGCCUCAUGUUAUUUUCAUUUUUGAUGACUUUGUCACCAAUCCUACUUGUGCUUGUCAUCAGUAAAACUCCAAGAACAGGAUAAAAAAGGCCACAUGAUCUACCCCUUCUCCUGGCUAAUUCAGAUUUAACGUGGAUGGCUGGGAAUCUAGACCUGCUAGUAUUGUAGGUUGCUACUGAUCACGAUGGAAAUGUUCAAGGUUAGUACUCAAAAUCCACUGGUAGUGCAGAUUCUAACCGCGUUGAGUUGCUUGCACUUCUACUUGUCUAAUUCACAUCUUUUUUCUUUUGAAUAUUAAAAUCUGAAGAACAUCAAGCUAAUUCACAUCUUUUAAUUAUUGAAAGUGAUUCCCUUAAUGCUGUUCUUUGAGCAACAGAUCUUUCUGCUGCCUUGGCGAUUGCAGAACUUUUCUAACCAUGUUGUUUUAUUAAGAAAUCAAAUUGGUCAGGUUGAUAUACUUUAUCAUGUACCUAGAGAGAGCAAUUCAAUGGCAGAUAAGUUUUCAAAGGCAGAUUAAUACGUAUCAAGAAUUUGGUAGCUUGGGUUUGAGUCUAGAAUUGUUUUAUUUACUUGAUGUAGCCACAGUUUGAUGUUUCAAUUCUUAUGCUGACUGCUUUUCUGGGAUGGUAUUCUGUAGCAAGUACUCACUUCUCGGUGAAUUGUUUGAUUAUGUUGUCAAGGUGCUUGGUGAAUGCUUCUUAGAAACUCUUUGCUGCUUCUUGCAAUUUGAUGAUCUUUGUGGGCUUUUGAUGAAGCUGCAGGCUGUUAUUUUCUUAUUUAAUCAUUUAAGGAUUUAUGUUUUGGAUCAUUUGUAAGGAUUGGAUUGCCAACUUAGGUUUUGUUGGCCUAUCAUUUUGUUGAAGUUUGUACUUGAA
rnacentral:lncRNA from 1 species